AUUGAACGCUGGCGGCAGGCCUAACACAUGCAAGUCGAACGAGUGGCGGCCGGGUGAGUAAUGUCUGGGAAACUGCCUGAUGGAGGGGGAUAACUACUGGAAACGGUAGCUAAUACCGCAUACCAUCGGAUGUGCCCAGAUGGGAUUAGCUAGUAGGUGGGGUAAAGGCGCACCUAGGCGACGAUCCCUAGCUGGUCUGAGAGGAUGACCAGGUACCCUGGAACUGAGUCACUUUCCAGACUACGACGGGAGGCAGCAGUGGUGAAUAUUUCACAAGGGGCGCAUGCCUGAUGCAGCCAUGUUGCGUGUAUGAAUAAGGGCUUGGGGUUGUAAAUGACUGUCAUCGGGGAGUCGUUACCCGCAGAAGAAGCACCGGCUAACUCCGGGCCAGCAGCCGCGGUAAGGC
rnacentral:rRNA from 1 species